GCAAGAAAUCACCCAAAAAACUGUAGCUGGGCUGUCAUUUUUCUCUGUUUUAGUUGACAGAGUUGCCCUGCCUGUUUCAGAGAAAGGAAGAAGGAUGGGAGAUCUGGGGAGUGGGAUUGUUGCCUUGCUGUUGGCCAUCUCCACAGUUGUAUCAAGUCAAGCUAUAGUGACCCAGAAGCACCAAUUUAUUUCAAUUAAGGAAGGAGACUCCAUCCAUUUGAAAUGCUCUUAUUCAGAAACAGCUUCUAGUCUUCAAUGGUACAAGCAAUAUCCAGGAGGCCAGCCAGAGCUUAUGAUGAUCCUGUAUUCAUCAAAGACUGAAACAAAGGAUAAUUUCGAGAUGAUUCUGAACACAAAUAACAAGACGACUUCUUUGUAUCUGAAGAACACCCAAAUUAAGGAUUCAGCUGUCUAUUUCUGUGCCUGGAGCACAGUGCUACAAAGACACCUGCUGGCUUUCAUCAAAACUACUGGGAACCGUUCAUUUAAAUCAGAGCCCAGAAUAGCUUACCUUCCAAGGCUAAUUUGGGAGAACAAGUUUGGGAUCCCAUCCAAAAUACCUUAUUGCCUGAAUCCACCAAGCCAGUAA